GAACAUGCGGGGGUAAACAAUGAAGGCAGAGUUCUGUAAGGAAGUUAGAGGAUCUAGUGGGGUGUCUUGAGUUCUUCCCUCCUCUGCAUUCUCCCACUGAAAUAGAUCAGAAGACAGCUUCUCAAGUCAGAUGUCUCUAUGGAAUGAAUCUUGAGAAACAAAUCCGAUUGGCUGAGACAAGACUCUGAAUUGCUUCAUCUUGGAUUAAAUGGACUCACCCUGGUCCGAUUAGCUGUAACCACAAGGGUAGAUCAUACAGUACAAAUAGUGCUGUCUAUCAGGAAGGAUUUGUUGGCACAGAUUCAUCCGUGUUCCCACACCAGGAUCCCUUCAAGACCAAAUGCAAGGUCAAGAUGGUCUGUCGUCGACAGAGUGGAUUUGGGAAACCAACUCAUAAUCUUGGCUUCAUAAUUAAGGGCUCUAACCCAGCACUCCUCAAACUUUAACGUACACACAAGUCACCUGAGAUCUUGUUAAAAGGCAUCACAAAAAUAAAAAGAAUUAUAACUAUGAGUGGCAACAGAUGUUAACUAGACUUA